CAAAAGUUUAGUCCUGACUUUACUAUCAGCUCUAGCAGUGCUUACACAUGCAAGUAUCCGCACCCCCGUGAGAAUGCCCUUAUGAUACCUUGUAGGUACUAGGAGCUGACAUCAGGCACACAAACGUAAGCCCAAGACGUCUUGCUUUUUGCCACACCCCCAAGGGAAAUCUGCAGUGAUCAACAUUAAGCAAUGAGUGAAAACUCGACUUAGCUAAAGCUAUUUAGAGCCGGUAAAACCUUGUGCCAGCUACCGCGGUUACACGAGAGGCUCAAGUUGAUAGUCAACGGCACAAAAGGUGGUUAGGUAGAACACUAAAUUAAGGCUGAACGCUUUUCUUACAGCUGUUAUAAGCUCCUAAAAGUAUGAAAACCAGCUACGAAAGUGGCCUUAUAAAGUCCGAACCCACGAAAGCUAAGAAACAAACUGGGAUUAGAGACCCCACUAUGCUUAGCCCUAAAUUGAUUAAAUAUAUACAUACACUUCUGCCUGGAAAUUACGAACGCAAGUUUAAAACCCAAAGGACUUGGCGGUGCUUAGAAUCCACCUAGAGGAGCCUGUUAUGUAAUCGAUGAUCCCCGUUCAACCUCACCCUCUCUAGCUCAAUCAGCCUGUAUACCUCCGUCGCAAGCUUACCCUAGCAAAGGUUCAGUAGUAAGCAAUAACGAUUUACGUGCCCCCAACGUCAGGUCAAGGUGCAGCCCACGAGAGGGGAAGAAAUGGGCUACAUUCUCUGACACUCAGAGAACUUACGAAUGGCAUGUUGAAAACAUAUGCCUGAAGGAGGAUUUAGCAGUAAGUAGGAAAUAGAGUGUCCUACUGAAACCGGCCCCUAAGCACGUACACACCGCCCGUCAAUCUCCCUGAAAACAUUGAACACCACACUAAAUAAAAAAAUAAGUCGAUACCUGGAAGGGAGAAAAGUCGUAACAUGGUAAGUGUACCGGAAGGUGUACUUGGAAUAC
rnacentral:ncRNA from 1 species